AAUCCCUAGAUCCUGCCCGCCCUGCGCCGUCCUCCGCCAUUCCACCGCCGCCCCACGCCUCCCACGACCUCCGCUACGCCGUCCUGCCCGCCCUGCGCCGUCCUGCCAGCCCCGUGCCGUCCUGCCUCUGUUGCGCCACCACGCGCCGUCAUGCCUCUGCCGCGCCGCCCCGCGCCGUCCUAACUGCCCUGCGCUGCCCCGCGCCGUCCCGUGCCUCCCUGGCCGCCCUGCGCCGCUCCGUCGUGCCCAUCCAUCUCCGCCCCGCACCAUCCUGCCCGUCCAUCGGCGCCCCGCGCAGUUCCGUCCUGCACAUCCAUCGGCGCCCCGCGCUCGUCCGUCCGAGUGGCUGCUUCAACUUGUAACCGGGCAGCGUGCAUAUGAGGUUGCACAGAGAACCAUUGUUGGUACCAUUGAGCAGAGGAAGAAGAGUAGCAGAAUCAUUGAAAAGACAUACAAAAGGAGCGGGAAGGAACCAGGAAGAUGUCAGUUUGCAUCAGCUAGAGAUUUUCUGUAACAGAGCAAAAACAAUGCGUCUUUUAGGUCUCAUUUUGUAAACCUAUAUGUCAUCUUGUCACCUGGGUAUUUUGUGUAAUGGAGCAAACAAUGAAUAUUGGAGAUGCAUCUAUCAUUUUA